GGCCUGCCACGGCUCCCCGCGUUCCGGAGCAGCUUCAGGAAUCAUUUCCCGUAUGUAACCAGGCUGAACUGUUGGUAGAACACGCCUACAUUUUUCAUCAACGAAAUAAGCCAUACGACGAGGAGGAAAAACCCAAUGGAUCGGAUCUUGAGUGCACCGUGAUGGCUAAACAAAUAGCGCGAUAGAGAAUCGGGCAUUUCAAAGAAGAGGCAAGAGCCUCAUCCAUUACACUGACGAAAUUGACAUUCAACAGGAUAUCCGAUGUUGCAAUCUUUAAGAACAAGUUGCAGCAUCUGCGCGAUCUACGUUGCCUGCGUGACAACCGUCUAAUUGCUAUUCUUUCCUCCUUUUCAUUCUUCGCUGUCGUCAUUCGUGAGAGGCGAAACGAAUCAUCUGGGUUGAAAGUGGCUCUAUCGACGUUCCAGCACAUCCGCAAUAAUCUCAGUUGAGUGAGCAACCAUUCCAAUAAAAGACAAAUUGUCCUAUACAAAAGAGAUGUAACGAGCGAAGAGCGGAUUUUCGACGAACGUGUCUCUUCGUAUGGAAACUAUUAUUCUCUUUGACUCAUUUUCUGUUCCAUCGAUUUUUUUUUAAAAUUACAAAUCGAGUAAAAUAGGCACGGCUAAAAAUGUACGAAGAGAUAAAAUCACUUGGGUCUAUUAAUUGGAAAACAAUUGCGACAGUCGACACGAUUAUUAUGAAUUUCAUUCGGAUAAACAGAUUGACACAGACGGGACAUCAAAAGCCAAUCGGCGGUAGGACCAAGGCGAUGGUGUCCUGAUGUAGGGAUUGUUGUCAUUGAUUUUUGUUUUUAGCGACGGGCAAUUGUUAUUACGACGAGAGGAACUUCACGCGUGAAGCAUCAUCGCCAAUGAAAUGAGAUGGCCGCCAAGAAGUUGUCAAGGAUAACCAGACCGACAAUCACUUUUCUAUCUCCUUGCUAUUCGGACCGACCUCGCCCUGUUUCGGACACGUGUAAUAAACUGUUACUGAAGAAUGAGGGAAGACAUCAACGAAGAAACCGAAAAGGUGGAGUCGUUCUAUGCCAAACUCUAUUGUGAUGCAUUCUGCCAGAGAAAAGUUGGACCAAACAUCAGAGGAUUUGCACUCAUAUUGUAACUAAUUCAUAUUUUGUUAUUUUCACAUUACUCUUAAA